rnacentral:lncRNA from 1 species
GUGAACAAGGAAGUGAGCCCUCAGCAGACAUCAGAUCUGCUGGCACCUUGAUCUUGGACUUCAAAGUCUCCAGAACUGUGAGCAAUAAUUAAUUUAAAAGCUUCUUGACAGCAAAAGAGAUAAUCAAGAACAUGAACAGAGAGCCUACAGAAAGAGAGAAAAUCUUUGCCACCUGCACCUCAGAUAGAGCAUUAAUUUCCAGGAUAUACAAAUAACUCAAAAAAUUUAACAACAACAACAACAACAAAAUAACCCAAUCAAUAAGUGGGCAAAGGAACUAAACAGACACUUUUCAAAAGAAGAAAUACAAGUAGUCAACAAAUAUAUGAAAAAGUAUUCAAUAUCUCUAGUAAUUGAAUAAAUGCAAAUUAAAACUACACUGAGAUUUCAUGACAAUUAUCAAGUACAAGGAACAAUAAAUGUUGGCAAGAAUGUGGGGAAAAGGGUACACUCAUAAAUUGCUGGUGGGACUGCAAUUUGGUGCAACAACUCUGGAAAGCAGUAUAGAGAUUCCCAAAAAACUAGGAAUGGAACCACCAUUUGACCCAGUUAUCCCAGUCUUCGGUACA